UUUUAUUUAGUACAAAAAGAUUU
rnacentral:snRNA from 1 species